UACGUAGGGGGCAAGCGUUGUCCGGAUUUAUUGGGCGUAAAGAGCGUGUAGGCGGCUUUACAGGUCCGCUGUGAAAACUCGAGGCUCAACCUCGAGCUGUCGGUGGAAACCAUCAGACUAGAGUCCGGAAGAGGAGAGUGGAAUUCCUGGUGUAGCGGUGAAAUGCGCAGAUAUCAGGAAGAACACCCGUGGCUAAGGCGGCUCUCUGGUACGGUACUGACGCUGAGACGCGAAAGCGUGGGGAGCGAACAGG
rnacentral:rRNA from 1 species